rnacentral:lncRNA from 1 species
CUCCCUGAUUGUCAGAAUCGGUUACCCUCGCUGGUCUGAGAUGGGGAAGGUGGAGAAGGACCCAGACACCCACCCGGGGGAACUCAGGCCCAGCGCUCGCCCAGGUCUGCCUUCAGCCUGGAUCUGGAGGGUUUCGGGUUGCUCCUCCCCGCCCGCCCGCCCGCAUGGUUUUGGUUGGUUGGAUGGCUGAAUGAAACACAACCUUGCCUGCAGACAUCAAAGCCUGUCUCCAGCCGUAGCAGGCUCUGCCUCCAGCCUUUCGUCUCUCCGGCAUUUGUAAAAUGUUGAUGGCCAAGCAUGAUACCUCAUGCCUGAGACGCCAGCUCUCAGGAGGCCCCCGGCAAGUUCAAGGCCAGCUUGCUCUACAUGAUCCAAAGAAGCGUCUUUCUCUGAUUCCUUUUAUCUGGAAGAACUGAGAGGAGACGGGCGAACGGUUGUGAGAAUCUCUUUAAGGGGCAGUCCUGGAAUGAGUGAAGGUUUGAACGCUUUUCUUAAAAUCAGAGUCCCGGGAAAUUUUCAUUUUUUCUUCGGUUUUGGCGCCGUGCACCGCUGACUCCUGGCCGCCUGUCUCUCCUAUGGCCUGGCAUCUUCACAGAUGCAGAUUUUGAAAAUGCAUUUCUCCUUUAUCUGAGAGCCCCUCCUGCCCCCUCCUCCAGGACCGACACACUAUGCGUGGAACCUGUGAUGCUAGGCCAUCCUUCCUAUGGUUUGACAUAUUGUCUCACCAGUAAAGGGUAGAGCUGGAACCCACCAUGAAAUCCUGGCCCAGCAAAAUACGUGCCCUAGAGAAGAAGGACCACAAACUCAAGGUCACCUGGGGCUACAUACUUAAGAUCCAGUCUCAAAACUCCAAAUCAAACAAAAAUUGCGCUAAUAAUAAAUUGUAGGAAGUAAGAAGAUGACACCAGGUAGCAGGUCUCAGGCAGCCUCUUUCUGGCUUUAGACUCAUGAUGGCUUAGAGUAGUUUUGAACUCCCAGUAUCAUCUUCUAAAUGUGCAUCUCGACAAAAAAAAAAGGAAUGACUUCGCCGGGCGUGGUGGCGCACACCUUUAAUCCCAGCACUCGGGAGGCAGAGGCAGGCGGAUUUCUGAAUUCGAGGCUAGCCUGGUCUACAAAGUGAGCUCCAGGACAGCCAGGGCUAUACAGAGAAACCCUGUCUCGAGAAAAAAAAAAAAAAAAAAGGAAUGAUUUCUCUGAGAUAGGGCCACAUGUAGCCCAGGCAACCCUCAAACUGUGAAGUCACAGAUUAUCUGAUCCUCCUGCCUCCACCUCCCAGUGUAAUUAAAAGUACAGCUAGCCUGGUGGCACGCCAUGCCUGACAUAGAGAGAGCAUGCAUCCAACUAAGGGCUUCAUUCUUACUAAGGCAAGCAUUCUGCCUACUGAGCUACAUACAUCCCCGGUGCAGAGAGGAAUAUUUAUUAAGCCUUCAUCCCUUCCAUAAUUGGACAAUGUAUUGUCUUGAUGUUCUGAUGGGCAGGAAGUUAUUUAGGCAGUAUAUAAACUGUCAUACUACACAGGGCAAAAAUAUUGCUUGUUUUCAAAAAAACAUUAGAAUACAGUAAAAUGCACCUGUCAUGGACUAGCCGGCUCUUCCUUUAAUCUUUUUUCCCCCCUCUCCUGUUUCAAAAAGAUGUUCAGGGUUCUCAGCAUAUCAGGGUCAUCAUUUUCAAACAUCCAUUAGUGCCAUCCCCCAGUCGAGGGAGAGAUGUAGUUAAUAAACAUUUCUGCUUGAUAGAGUCUAGCGAUCUAUUAGAACUGCCACCAAGCAGUCAGAGCACACAGUCCCGUUACCAGCCACAGAUCACAUGGCUACACACGUUUCUCCCCACCCCCCGCCCCCCAUUCUCUUUCUUUCCUAACCCUGCCACUUCUAAUAGCUUUACAUGUAUAUUAUAUACACCUUUUUUUUUUUUUUUUUGGUUUUUUCAAGACAGGGUUUCUCUGUGUAGCCUGGCUGUCCUGGAACUCACUCUGUAGACCAGACUGGCCUCGAAUUCAGAAAUCCACCUGCCUCUGCCUCCCAAGUGCUGGGAUUAAAGGCGUGUGCCACCACGCCCAGCUAUAUACAUCUUUUUUAAAUUUAUCAUGUAUAUGUCUGUGAGGAUGUGCAUGGGGUGGGGGUGGGGGGGCUACUCUAGGAGACCAGAGGCACUUGAUCCCUUGGGAUGUUGCCUGAUGUGUGUUCUGGGAACCGAACUCUGGUCUUCUGUAAUAAUAGCAAAGAUCACUAUCAACCUCUGAGCCAUCUCAUGCGGUUUACAUGGAUGUAUUUGAUAUAUACCUAAUAAUGGUAUUUCCUUUGUG